AGGUGGGUGUUAAAAACACCAGUGGGGGCAUCAUGAGGGAGUUUGUGGGCUAUUGGGAGUUGUAAGCCGUUACCACGUGGAGGGAUAACACUAGGAAAGUAGCUGAGAGUUUUUCAUGACAUUAGUCGCACAUUCAAGGAGGAAGAGCAUUUUCCUUCAAUCUCCUCAGCUCAUUCCUCAGCUUCGAGAUGGUUUCGCUGACGAUGCUCUUCUCAGUCUCGUACUUGCUCUUGAGG